AUUGAACGCUGGCGGAAUGCUUCACACAUGCAAGUCGAACGGUAGAGGGGCAACCCUUGAGAGUGGCGAACGGGUGAGUAAUGUAUCGGAACAUGCCCAGUCGUGGGGGAUAACGUAGCGAAAGUUACGCUAAUACCGCAUACGAUCUAUGGAUGAAAGCGGGGGAUCGCAGGACCUCGCGCGAUUGGAGUGGCCGAUAUCAGAUUAGGUAGUUGGUGGGGUAAGGGCCUACCAAGCCGACGAUCUGUAGCUGGUCUGAGAGGAAGACCAGCCACACUGGGACUGAGACACGGCCCAGACUCCUACGGGAGGCAGCAGUGGGGAAUUUUGGACAAUGGGCGCAAGCCUGAUCCAGCCAUUCCGCGUGCAGGAGGAAGGCCUUCGGGUUGUAAACUGCUUUUGUACGGAAUGAAACGCGCUGAGCUAAUACCUCGGCGUAAUGACGGUACCGUAAGAAUAAGCACCGGCUAACUACGUGCCAGCCGCCGCGGUAACAC
rnacentral:rRNA from 1 species